CUUCUGACUCCGAAAAUGCUGUGUGCAUUAGAACUGCUUGUUAAGCAUAGAGAGGCUUGUGGAGUUCUCAAAGACAAUGCUUACAUGUUUGCAAGACCCACAGCUAUGACACACAUCCGUGGUUCAGACUGCAUCCGUGGCUUCGCAAAGGAAUGUGGUGCAAAGUGUCCUGAGUCACUGACAUCCACCAGACUACGAAAACAUGCUGCAACCCUUUCAACCGUGCUGAACAUGACAGACACAGAGAUGGACCCAGCUGGCCAACUUUCUUGGUCAUGACAUUAGAAUCCAUCGUGAGUUCUAUCGACUCCCUGAGAAGACCCUGCAACUCGCCAAAAUCAGCAAAGUCCUAAUGGCACUUGAGCAAGGAAGAUUGGCUGAGUUCCAUGGCAAGAACUUGGAUGAAAUUACAAUUAAUCCAGAUGAAAAAGUUCUGGAUUGUGAUGAGGAAGAUGAGAAGAGAGAGGAAGAAAACUGUUCAUCUGCUGUUAAUGAGCAACCAGCAGACGAGACAAUUCCACCUACUGAAGGGAAUGAAUUCCCAUCAACAAUCAAGACACGCAAACUGCCAUCAGCAGAGGAAGUGGUAUCUUCUGAAGCCUGUGCUGUAAGACCUUCUUACAAAGAGCCAUCAGCAGAG